GACGAACGCUGGCGGCGUGCUUAACACAUGCAAGUCGAACGGAAAGGCCCUGCUUUUGUGGGGUGCUCGAGUGGCGAACGGGUGAGUAACACGUGAGUAACCUGCCCUUGACUUUGGGAUAACUUCAGGAAACUGGGGCUAAUACCGGAUAGGAGCUCCUGCUGCAUGGUGGGGGUUGGAAAGUUUCGGCGGUUGGGGAUGGACUCGCGGCUUAUCAGCUUGUUGGUGGGGUAGUGGCUUACCAAGGCUUUGACGGGUAGCCGGCCUGAGAGGGUGACCGGCCACAUUGGGACUGAGGUACGGACCAGACUCCUACGGGAGGCAGCAGUGGGGAAUAUUGCACAAUGGGCGGAAGCCUGAUGCAGCAGCGCCGCGUGCGGGAUGACGGCCUUCGGGUUGUAAACCGCUUUCGCCUGUGACGAAGCGUGAGUGACGGUAAUGGGUAAAGAAGCACCGGCUAACUACGUG
rnacentral:rRNA from 1 species